GAUGAACGCUGGCGGCGUGCCUAAUACAUGCAAGUCGAGCGAACAGACGAGGAGCUUGCUCCUCUGACGUUAGCGGCGGACGGGUGAGUAACACGUGGAUAACCUACCUAUAAUACUGGGAUAACUUCGGGAAACCGGAGCUAAUACCGGAUAAUAUAUUGAACCGCAUGGUUCAAUAGUGAAAGACGGUUUUGCUGUCACUUAUAGAUGGAUCCGCGCCGCAUUAGCUAGUUGGUAAGGUAACGGCUUACCAAGGCAACGAUGCGUAGCCGACCUGAGAGGGUGAUCGGCCACACUGGAACUGUGACACGGUCCAGACACCUACGGGAGGCAGCAGUAGGGAAUCUUGCACAAUGGGCGAAAGCCUGACGGAGCAACACCGCGUGGGUGAUGAAGGUCUUCGGAUCGUAAAACUCUGUUAUUAGGAAAGAACAAAUGUGUAAGUAACUAUGCACGUCUUGACGGUACCUAAUCAGAGAGCCACGGCUAACUACGAG
rnacentral:rRNA from 1 species